GUCGCGCACGAGGUCGGGGUGCUGGCGGCGCUCACGGCACUGCAGGUUGUCGGUGGCGAUGGAGAAGGGCACGGAGGUGGCAUCCAGGGCGCGCGCCAGCCGCUGCUUCUGGGCCAGCAGCAGGUCGCUCUCCGUGCCCAGUUCUCCAACCUCGCGCUGCAGCUCCGACUUCCAGCCGUGCGUGUCCUGCAGCCGCGCGCCCGCCUUCCGGGUGGCGUCCUCCUGCGAGCACCGGGCCAGCGCCUGGGUCUUGGCCGCCAGCUGAUGGCUCUCGUGGCGCCGCCGCUCCGACUGGUUGCGGUCCGCAAAGGCUUGGUGGUAGCGGGCGUAGCAGUUCUGGGACCACUCGUCUGCCAGGUACUUGGCCGAGCGGAAGCCGGCAGUGGCCAGGCCCGAGGACGAGCAGGCGCCCACGUUCCGGGCCACGUCGUACACUUUCUGGGGCAGCUCGCAUGCCGGCACCGCCUGGGGCGUGGGCUCCUUGGUCAGGAGCACGUCCGUCUGUGCCAUGGUGCCCCCCACCCCCCUGCUCCUGUGUGAGGGAGAGAGGACCUUUGGGUAACCAGGGCAGCUGGGGCCACUUGGUCCCCAGCAGGACACUUCUGGUCUCCCAGCGACAGGUACACAUAAGCCCUCCUGUUGCUGGGCAACAGGUCCCAUCCCCUCGUGGCUCUCUUAAAGGGCCAGGCAGGCCCAGCCCCCCACCCAUCCUGGCCCAGGCCCCACACCUGCCCAGCACUGCACCUGGGACUGGGCUGCAGCCAGGCCCAGUUGUCCCCUGCUUGUCUCACUUGUCCCAGUGGGGAGACCCCUGGACACGGGGAGAGGGUGCGGGCAGAGACUUGUCUUUGAUGAGGAGUCAAUUUCAGCCUCCAGUGGAAACCUGGGAGCUGGACACGCAAGUCUUCUCCACACAGGUGUCCCCCAGGCCACCCCGGGCCAGGCUCAUGGCUGAGGCCACCUGGUCCCCAGGCCCGCCUCAGCCCUGCUCCAUCCUGGUGAGCCGGGGCCCUGUCCAGUGUGCCCAGCAGAGGGCACCAUUGGCCGCAAAAUGUCGCCUGGAGUGGCGGCCAGCGGCAGUGGGUGGGUGGAGGACCUGGACCCUGGGUGGCCCGCUGCCUGGCCUUUCCCCCUGAGCCCCCCAGCCCCGUGGGAGCCCUCAACAGCCCACCUGCAGGACAUGCGCGCCCCUUCCCAACGCAUUCGUGGCCCUGGCCCCCCACUCCCUCCCCGUCCCUCCCUGCCUGGCCCUCGCCAGCCUCACACCUCGGAUACAGCAGCCCUGGCCCGGCCCAGCCCUGACCUGUGGCACCAGCCUCCCUCUGCAGGGCCCAGCAUCUCCACCCCCGGCACACAGCAGAGAGCCAGCGUUGGGGUUCGAAGCGGCGGCUGAGACUUAUGCAGGCUGAUUGGAUUUGUGUCCAAAUUGCAUUUGGGACGAGAAAAUUGAGUCUCGGGCACACUGAGGUUCCUGGGGCAAGGUACGUGCCUGCCACCCUCCCCCUGCCGUGUUCAGACAGUGGCUUGGGACCUGCCCCGGGGUCAGGGAGGCCCCGAGGCCCCCCGACACUCCCCUCCAGACUCUGCUUGCACACCUUGGGGCCGGGGCUCCUUCCUCCCCCAGGGCGGCCCUGGAGGACACCGCCUGUCGUGCCCCUGCCUCUGGGGUUGGUCCCGCUCAUGAGUCCUUAGCCCCCUGUAGCCUGGACCCUGAUGCCUGGAGGGAACCGAGACAGGAGGAGCCAUGGUAAUGGUAACGAUUCCCUGGGGCCUGUACCCCGCUGACACCACAUCACGGGCCAGCUCAGCCUCAGCACCAGGACCCCAGCAAGAGGAUGGACACGGAAAAGCUGCGGGCCCUGGCGUCUCUGGGAAGCCCCUCACGGAGCAGGGGGCACCGGUGGGACAGAGGAUGCCAGAAACCACCCUGGCCCCUCACCUAGAGCUCAGCAGGCUCCUGCAGGCACCUGGCCCCCCCGCCCCCACCAGCCUGGUGGUGGCUGCAGAGCCCCUGAGCCCUGCUCUGCAGAAGGGCACCCUGGAUGCUGGGUCCAGCCCACCCGCCCCCCGCCCUGUGUCCCCCACCUGCUCUGGGCGGCAGAAGUGGCCAGAUGGGGAGACAGGAGCCUGCUGCUCUGCGCAGCUUCACGGGCUGUGGCCACCCCAAGGGGCUGGGGUCACACAGCUGGGAGGACGGGGGGUUCCAGACUCAGCUGCCUGCCCACCCUCAGGCCCCAGCGCGCCUUCUGCUCUCCACCCGCAGCCCCAGCUCAAGAAGUCUUCAUCCCCCUCGCCCCUCGUGCCCCUUGCCCGCCCACAUUUUAGUGACGGGAGGAACUGAAGCUGCUCCGAUAGCCCUGAGCCUGGCUGGCCCCAGUGCCAGCGGGUGCCACCAGGGGACGGGGAGGAAGAGGACAGGCCGCUUCUGGUCCAGCAGCACCAGACGUGGGCUCAGAGGGGAGGGAGACGCCCCUGGGGGCUCGGAGGGCACCGUCCAGGCCUUGCUGGGGCCCCUCCAAGGCCGCUGGGGCCGAUGCUGCCGCAGGAAGGGACAGGAUGUGCAUGGGGGCACAUGUGCCAGAGGGAGCGCGGCGGUCUGGGGGCUCGGUGCCACCUACCUGUGCUUGGCAGGAUGGGGCCACCCCGGCUCAGCCCUCGGGCCUGUCCCCCCACCUGGCCCUGGGUAGAAGGUGGGGACUCGGGGCCACAGAUGCAUCCCUGUCCACCCUGCACCCAGGGAGGACACCCAUCGGGGACCCUGCGUGUGCCUCCCACUCUGGGCAGCCAUGUCCCCCCGCAGAGCCUGGCCUCGUCGCCCAGGACGUCCCCACCACCGUGGCCCGGCUCUGCCACAUGAGGUUCUGAGGUCUGCAGCGUGGGCACCAGGUCUAGACCACAGCCCCCGAGGCUGCAUGAGCUGUGCCUCAGUUUCCCCAUCUGUGGGCUGGGGGUUAGAGUGGUCCCUCCCUCGUGGGUGUUUGAGGACGGAGCCACACAGUGUGCGUGCAGGUCCUGGGGUGGCCGUUCCCAUGCCAUCCCCCGUGCAGGAGGUGGCCUGAUUUCUGACCCCGUUCCCACCCGGAGGUUCUCAGCAUCAGGUCCCAAGAGGUCAUUCGCGGGCAUGGCCUGUGGUCAUCUGGGGGGGAACAGGCCCCUCGUCCUGGGCGCCCACCCCAUUUUUAUCUGAAGGAUCGUUUUCAAUUCAUGUUUUCACUGCCCAGACACCACUUGGAGACUCACCUGGCCCCAUCCCCCAGGGGACAGCAGCACCGCGCGCCCAGGAUGGCGGGGUUGCGGAACAGGCCACACGUGUGUGUCCUGCGGCCUGGUGCAUCAGGGACUGAGCUCCUCGUCCUCGGAGGGGUCCAGGCAGCCACUGGUGAGGACGCGGUGGACACCUGGAGCAGGACAGGCCAUCCGUCCGCGAUGCCCCCAGCACUCGAGCUCCCCACCCCCAGCACGGCUGGCAGAGGAAGGAGGGCCCUCUCCAGUCUCGGGUCUCGGGUCUCAGGUCCCCAUCUCCGUCAGGGGGGCCUCACCGGGCAGCCGCCCUCCCUGCCAGGUGUCUCCCCGCCCAGGCCCCCAGGACUUGGGUCCUUGCACCCGCCCUACGCACACGUGUUCCCCGUUCCCGUGAAGCUCGUGCCCGCAGCUGGUGGGAGGAGCCCAGCCCCCGGGGUAGCACACCGGCCCCGUUGUGCUUAAAGACCUGAGCAGGCGCCGCAGAAGGGAGUGGCCCGGGGCCCGCGGGCUCGCAGCCCGUCCGCGCUCUGGGCCCAGCCUGGUCCGUGCUGGGCCUUGGGGCGGCAGGCUGAGUCCCCGACUCCACCACAGCCUCUGCGGAGGCCUCCCAGGGUUCCCAUCCUCGGGCCCCAGCGUGUUGGUGGGGGUGGAGGGGGGUGCUCGUCGUCGAGCCGGUGGCCUCCACCGGCCUUUGCCCACUGGCCCCCGCCCCUGCUCCUCUGGCCCCUACCGGCAUCUGUUGGACGCUCGCUCUGGGGGUGCUUCUGGGUCCCCAAGUACAGAUGAGGAAACAGUCACCGCCGUGUUGCACGACAGGGACCAGAGCACUAGAAGACUCCAGAACCUUUUCCAGGGCUGCAGCUGCUCAAGCUGAGGGCGAAGGGAGCCGAGGGCCAGACCCCAAGAGGCCCCGCAUCCUCUGUCCCUCUGAAGCUGCGUGAGGCUGUUUUUCCGCUCGGGUCAAAGGGAUGGGACGGGUGACUCAGGUCCCUGCUGGACCGACUCUCCAUCUGCCCCACCCCUGCCCGGUAACCUGUGACCUCCACCCCCUGCACCAGGGUGUCACGGGGCAGACAAAGAGCAAGACAAGAAGGAAACCUUUGCCAUAGGACACGCCAUCGAGGACCAGAGCCCCGUCACCACUAGGAAGCCCGGCCCGUCCCGAUGGAUGAGGCCCAACCAGGACCCAGGACAUCCCGGGUCCCUCACCCCCUGCCCCGCAGGGUCACAUGCUCCCUGCCCCUUCCCGGAAUGCCCGCGGCCCCACCUCCUGCGAGUACACCUCUCCUCCAGGCAGUCUGCCCUGUUUGCUUCUCACAGUCCCUGGGCUGGCUCCUCCUCUGGCUUCAGGGACCUGGCGCAACUGCACGUCCUGGCAGUGACAAGGCUUUGACGCAAAUAAAAGGAACUCGGAGAAGCUAAGGAAAGAGGGCAGCCUGAGGAGUGUGAACGGAUGACAGAGAGCUGGCCCCAAGCUGUGCUGGUCAGGUGCUCAGAUGCAGCGCAGUCUCGGGUUUGCACACCUGCCCGUGUUCAUCGUCACAGUCUCGUAUGAAUAUGACAAGCCCAACGGUCACGAGGGAACCAGACACCCCCCGCCCCGGGAGAUAUCAGCCAGUGGGUUUCAGGGCUGACCAACCAGAUGCCACCUGGGUCCCAUUAGAAGAGGGACGGUGUCCCAGAGGAGGGAAGUGAUAACCCCACACACACCGGCCGGAAUGUGCUUGUGAGACUGAAGGAGAAUGUUCCAGAAGACGUUCCAUCUGAGACAACACUGGGCCGGCAGCAAAGCAGAGCCGGCGCUCCCUAGAAUCACAGCCCAAGGGCAUCCCAAGGGCAUCGGUGGCCCGGGAGAGGACGCCCACAGACCCGCGCUCCAGCCCCUCCGCAGGGCCAGCUCCGCCCAGCACUUAGCCCGAGGAGGCCCUGGAAACAGAUGCCGAGGGACAGGGAAACCAAGCCCCACUGUCCUCGGGGAGCGCAGGACGGAGCCACUUAGCAGGAACCCGGGCUCGGUGUCAGGAGUCUCGGUGCCUCCAGCAGGAGACGCAGCAGGGGCGGGGGCAGCGGGGGGGGUGGCAGCCGAGGGCCCUCCUGGGGUCGGAGCCUAGAGGUGGGGGGGAUGCAGCCCCCAAGGAGUUCCCACCCUCUCCCCAACUGCCUGUCGCAGCUUAAAGUGGCCUCGGGUGCCAAAUUAGCUCCUGGGCGUGGAUGCUGCUCCCACCCCUAGCAGGCAGGCGGCCCCCGGUGAGGCGGGCCCCCUAUGGUUGGGUCUCAGGGUCAGCGGUCACCCCGUCCGCCUGGCCACGUGGGCACGUGGAGCUGUGGGGCCACGAGCGUGGUCCCCAGAGGGACACGGACCAAGAGGCAGGGGCUCAGUUGCUGCCCUCUGGAUGCCAGGACCGUCCCUGAGGCCGAGCAGGGGCCGGGGGGGCCCGGGGGCGUCGCUGGGCAGGGGGGAGGCCCUGUCCUAUGCCUGCCCCACCGAUGACCGGGUGAGCAGCUCCCACACUGCUCGGUGACCGUCGCCAGACCCAGAUGCCAACGACGGCCAUCAGGCCCGGUUUCUAGAAGGACACGGAGCCCCCAGUGUGUCCCCAGCCCUUCCCUGGGCCCCAGAGUCCAGGUGGUGGGACCGAGAUGGGCCCUGGCCCCCCAGGCCUACUGCAGCCCUGCUUUCUGCCCGCCAGGGCUCCUCGGGUGGGCCGUGGACCCGCUCACAUCUGCCCCCGGGACCCCGUAGGGCCCACAGGUCACUAAGAUCGGGGUCUUUGUGGGUAGGGGCAAGAUGCAGAUGUGGUCUGGCCGAGGAGGAAGGGUCUGUGCCCCAGGCAGGUCCUGGUGGGGGGCACGGGGGCAGCUCCGCCCUCGCAGCCUCCCCCACUCCCCCCGGUGGUCAGGGCCGCCCCCGGGGUGGCUCAGCCCUCCACCCAGCUAAUGCACUGUGCAUUACUGCAAGUCCUGCUUUCCUGGAGGAGAGCGAGAGGCGCCCUGGGGACCCUGCCUCCAUGAGGGAGCGGGCGCCGCGUCCCGACACACGUCACGUGCUCCACAGUUACUGGAAGCUCCUGCCCGAUGAGCUCCGCCCCAGCUCCUGCUUCGCCACCUGCCACAGCCCCUGGGACCCUCCUCCGGGCAGGCUGGCCUCGUGGUGCCCGACGGCCCAGGCCACUGCGCAGGAUGCUCUCCCUCCUGUGUCUCUCCAUCCUCAGGGCUCAGCCCUGGGGUCCCUUCCUCCAGGAAGCCCUCUGGGCUGUCCUCAGAUCCUCCUGCGCCCUCCAGCUGGGCCUCCAGGGCCGCCCGCACCUCCGUCCCCCACAGCAAGUGGCCCCGCGAGCACGAAGGUCCCCAGGGAGCAGCAGGGAGCCCUACAAGACUCACGGGGGCAGGGGCUGGGCCCCCACUGACUGAGCCAUUGUCCCUUGUGCACACGGUGACGGUUGCCAGAGCCCCAGAGGGGCCACCUCGCGCCGUCAGGGAGCGGCCAGGGGCACCAGCAGGUGUGGGCGCAUCGGGGCUAGCAGAGCCCGGCCACCCCAGGCCCGGUGGACCCGCCCGCUCACGGGCACAGAGGGAGCCCCGGCCACAGGCCCUCAAGCGUCGCCUGGCGCCCCUAGGGCUGGCACUGAGGCCGGGGGCUGGGGGACGGCCAGGAGGGCCUGCGGGCA